GAGCGUAAGAAAAGUGAGAUCGGCGUCACUUUAUCGGCAAGAUGAGAAGCAGAAAGGAGAAACCCGCCGUUAGCACGGCAGGUUGGCAAGCUUAGCGAUCUGUCUCUACGCGCAGUGCAUCAGGUGGUAGAGCAACGCUUAAGAUAACAGGCUGGAAUGAGGCCGAUUUCCCCAAAUACGUGGAGAUGCCUUUCGCCAGGAUGAAGCCACCAACCCCACCGAGCAACGCGCCAGAUACUGCGGCAAUAUCGGUGUGAAACAAUGCCUGAAACAGGCCAGCGACGAUAAACAGUCCGACCAAAGGCGUCAUAUAGACCAGCAGCGCUGAACUGAGCAGGCUUUUUUCGGCAAUCCCCAGCUCAAUCCGCUGACCGGCAGCUAACGGCUCGGCGCUGGCGACUUUCAUUACGUGCGCAUUUUUCGGCCCAAGCUUAUCCAGCAUAUGGCUGCCGCACCCCUUCCGCGCAGAACAGCUGCUGCAGGAGGUUUUGAUUUCUGAAUGCAGCGUAGCAAUGCCGUUGUUCCAGGAGACCACAGUGGCCCAUUCUCUCAUCAUGGUGUUGAUCCUAAAUUGACCGCAUC
rnacentral:ncRNA from 1 species